CUAGCUUGUGGAAGUGUGAGGGCUGAAGAGUUCAUCUCUGUUUGCAGUACUGGCACCUUGGCCAGCAAUUUUUUUGCUUCACGAAAUGCAUACACAUAAUAUAGCCUGCUGCCUCUAGCCAGAAGCCUCUCUGUGGGCAGAGUCUCGUUUCUUGUCAGUCACCACAAUGAGAAACCGAGGGGUUUUAUACCACAUGAUUUGAGGACUGAAGGACAGAUGAAGAGUGUGCUAGUCAAAAUUUCAGCACUUCAUAGUAAGGAUUUGAAGUUCCAAUUAAAACAGUGUUUGGGCCAUUGCUUUGCCUGCCAGUGCUUAAUCUUUUCCGAAAGCCUCAUCACUUAUCUAAAACAAAAGAAGAACGAGGUAAGGAGAGAAAGUAAUGAAAUGCAGCAUAGCACAUCUGUCAAAGGAGC
rnacentral:lncRNA from 1 species